UCCCGAGCGUUNUCCGGAUUUAUUGGGCGUAAAGCGAGCGCAGGCGGUUAGAUAAGUCUGAAGUUAAAGGCUGUGGCUUAACCAUAGUACGCUUUGGAAACUGUUUAACUNGAGUGCAGAAGGGGAGAGUGGAAUUCCAUGUGUAGCGGUGAAAUGCGUAGAUAUAUGGAGGAACACCGGUGGCGAAAGCGGCUCUCUGGUCUGUAACUGACGCUGAGGCUCGAAAGCGUGGGGAGCGAACAGGAUUAGAUACCCUGGUAGUCCACGCCGUAAACGAUGAGUGCUAGGUGUUAGGCCCUUUCCGGGGCUUAGUGCCGCAGCUAACGCAUUAAGCACUCCGCCUGGGGAGUACGACCGCAAGGUUGAAACUCAAAGGAAUUGACGGGGGCCCGCACAAGCGGUGGAGCAUGUGGUUUAAUUCGAAGCAACGCGAAGAACCUUACCAGGUCUUGACAUCCCGAUGCCCGCUCUAGAGAUAGAGUUUUACUUCGGUACAUCGGUGACAGAUGGUGCAUGGUUGUCGUCAGCUCGUGUCGUGAGAUGUUGGGUUAAGUCCCGCAACGAGCGCAACCCUUAUUGUUAGUUGCCAUCAUUCAGUUGGGCACUCUAGCGAGACUGCCGGUAAUAAACCGGAGGAAGGUGGGGAUGACGUCAAUCAUCAUGCCCCUUAUGACCUGGGCUACACACGUGCUACAAUGGCUGGUACAACGAGUCGCAAGUCGGUGACGGCAAGCUAAUCUCUUAAAGCCAGUCUCAGUUCGGAUUGUAGGCUGCAACUCGCCUACAUGAAGUCGGAAUCGCUAGUAAUCGCGGAUCAGCACGCCGCGGUGAAUACGUUCCCGGGCCUUGUACACACCGCCCGUCACACCACGAGAGUUUGUAACACCCGAAGUCGGUGUGGU
rnacentral:rRNA from 1 species